UGAAAAGGGGGGGGGAGGAUCAAACUUUAAACAAGACUAAUCUAAUGGAUCUACGGCUACUAUAGCUUAUUUGCAAUUCAAGGUGUUCACUUCCAGAGAAACAUUAACAAGGUUUCCAGCCGCAAAUUGAAGAUCUAUCAUAGAUGUUAUGGCAACAGCUCAAUAAGCCAGUAGAUAAAUGGACACAAAAGUAUGAGGUCUCACGAAGAUGGCAUUACAAUAGACCCUAAAGAAAAGCACAGGCUGAGCACGUGUUUACAUCCAAAUAUACAAGCACUUGUAUUAACCUUUUUCUUCCCCAACUACGUGUGAGUCCAUCCAUUAUGCUAGAAAAUAAGAUGAGAAAAGUAAUCCACUCCAAUUUAACAUGAUAAAUUAACCUGCAACAGUCAAGUGUCCAGGUUUGUGAUUUAAGAUUAAUUCACUUCCAUCUUAGCGGAGUUUGUAGGAAUGUUAAGCCUGCUAUAGAAAGCAAGCCAACAAAAAUAAGAUUGCAAAUUCAAAUUUUGUCACCUCCAUUUUGUAUCAUUCAAAAAUGAGUUCAAUGGUAUCAGCAGUGUUGUAUAGAUAAAUCACAAUAAUAUAACAUGGAGCUGUUGGAACCAUGACAGAAUAGACAUACCGGCUCUCUUGCUAAAUGUCCG
rnacentral:misc_RNA from 1 species